CCUACGGGUGGCUGCAGUGGGGAAUAUUGCACAAUGGGCGCAAGCCUGAUGCAGCCAUGCCGCGUGUGUGAAGAAGGCCUUCGGGUUGUAAAGCACUUUCAGCGGGGAGGAAGGCGGUGAGGUUAAUAACCUCAUCGAUUGACGUUACCCGCAGAAGAAGCACCGGCUAACUCCGUGCCAGCAGCCGCGGUAAUACGGAGGGUGCAAGCGUUAAUCGGAAUUACUGGACGUAAAGCGCACGCAGGCGGUCUGUCAAGUCGGAUGUGAAAUCCCCGGGCUCAACCUGGGAACUGCAUUCGAAACUGGCAGGCUAGAGUCUUGUAGAGGGGGGUAGAAUUCCAGGUGUAGCGGUGAAAUGCGUAGAGAUCUGGAGGAAUACCGGUGGCGAAGGCGGCCCCCUGGACAAAGACUGACGCUCAGGUGCGAAAGCGUGGGGAGCAAACAGGAUUAGAUACCCCGGUAGUC
rnacentral:rRNA from 1 species